UAGUCAAGUAUGACCAGAGUUUACAAAAGGGUAGCUUAAAGGACAUGUAACCUGCAGAUAAAUAAAUACCUGUCUGUGUAUUUUUGCGUUGCUUUAUCACAGAUGAUCAAGUUAGAUGCUCACCUAAUGUGUUGCUGACUCAUCAAGGAUCCAGCUUGUUCUUGAAACAUUGAAGUUUGCACUCUGCAAGUGAACGACGCUUUGUGGUGCCAUCCCAAAGAAGUUCAAAAUCACUCUCAAGGACCUUUUCCUGGACUGUGCCCAGCUGGUGGAAUGACCUCCCAAUCUCAAUCCGAACAGCGAGUCUUUACUCAUUUUCAAGAAACAUCUAAAGACUCAUCUUUUUCACCAGAACUUAACCAACUAAUACUAGCACUUGUCCUUCAUAUUGAACAAAAAAAAAAAACCUGGCUAUGCGUUCUGUACUAGACUAACUGAGACUUGUCAUGGCACUUGUAAACUGUUGUUGUUCUCUUGUUGACCUGACUGCUUCUAUUGUUCUCAUUUGUAAGUCGCUUUGGAUAACAUCGUCUGUUAAAUGAUUAAAUUUAAUGUUUAUACAGGACAGUACAGAGAGUGCACAAGUGGGAGAGAGUGGAGGGGAUGGCGUCAGAAAGGACCUAGCACUGGGACACUUUCAAGGAUCACCCGAAGCACAACCACACUGUAUGCACGAGGCUGUUGGUUCUAACAUUUUAGAGUCCCCUUCGGUAUAAAUCUCAUUCUGCAUGCUCCACGGUAAAGAAGACACAGUCCGGGGGGGUUCCCAUUAGAAAUCAACCCCCCACCCUCGGUGUGCCCCCUCUAACGCUGGGCCCUUGUAAUUGUCCUAAUCUUCCCUCCCCUUACAGCGGUCCUGGUUGAAGGUUCCCUUCUCAAACUGUGCAGCAUAUUUUCACUGCACAAAUGUACACAUCUCUUGUAAUGAGACACAUUACUAAAACAUGUUUUUUAUA